UUCCGGUUGAUCCCGCCGGAGGUUACUGCUAUCGAGGUUCGACUAAGCCAUGCGAGUCGAAUGUAGCAAUACAUGGCGUACUGCUCAGUAACACGUGGACAACCUACCCUUGAGAUGGGAAUAAACCCGGGAAACUGGGUAUAAUACUCGAUAGAUCUCGACUGCUGGAAUGCAUCGAGAUCCAAAGCUCCGGCGCUCAAGGAUGGAUCUGCGGCCUAUCAGGUAGUAGUGGGUGUAGUGUACCUACUAGCCUACGACGGGUACGGGUUGUGAGAGCAAGAGCCCGGAGAUGGAUUCUGAGACACGAAUCCAGGCCCUACGGGGUGCAGCAGGCGCGAAAACUUUACAAUGCUGGAAACAGCGUUAAGGGGACCUCGAGUGCCAGGUUACAAAUCUGGCUGUCGUGAUGCCUAAAAAGCAUUGCAUAGCAAGGGCCGGGCAAGACCGGUGCCAGCCGCCGCGGUAACACCGGCGGCUCGAGUGGUAACCUUUAUUAUUGGGUCUAAAGGGUCUGUAGCCGGCCGGAUAAGUCUCUUGGGAAAUCUGGCAGCUUAACUGUCAGGCUUUCAGGAGAUACUGUCUGGCUCGAGGCCGGGAGAGGUGAGAGGUACUUCAGGGGUAGGGGUGAAGUCUUGUAAUCCUUGAAGGACCACCAGUGGCGAAGGCGUCUCACCAGAACGGACCUGACGGCAAGGGACGAAAGCUAGGGGCACGAACCGGAUUAGAUACCCGGGUAGUCCUAGCCGUAAACGAUACUCGCUAGGUGUCGGCAACGGUGCGACCGUUGUCGGUGCCGUAGGGAAGCCGUGAAGCGAGCCACCUGGGAAGUACGGCCGCAAGGCUGAAACUUAAAGGAAUUGGCGGGGGAGCACCACAACGGGUGGAGCUUGCGGUUUAAUUGGAGUCAACGCCG
rnacentral:rRNA from 1 species